rnacentral:rRNA from 1 species
GACGAACGCUGGCGGCGUGCUUAACACAUGCAAGUCGAGCGGUAAGGCCUUUCGGGGUACACGAGCGGCGAACGGGUGAGUAACACGUGGGUGAUCUGCCCUGCACUCUGGGAUAAGCCUGGGAAACUGGGUCUAAUACCGGAUAUGACUACAUGCUGCAUGGUGUGUGGUGGAAAGAUUUAUCGGUGCAGGAUGGGCCCGCGGCCUAUCAGCUUGUUGGUGGGGUAAUGGCCUACCAAGGCGACGACGGGUAGCCGACCUGAGAGGGUGACCGGCCACACUGGGACUGAGACACGGCCCAGACUCCUACGGGAGGCAGCAGUGGGGAAUAUUGCACAAUGGGCGGAAGCCUGAUGCAGCGACGCCGCGUGAGGGAUGAAGGCCUUCGGGUUGUAAACCUCUUUCAGCAGGGACGAAGCGUGAGUGACGGUACCUGCAGAAGAAGCACCGGCUAACUACGUGCCAGCAGCCGCGGUAAAAC